rnacentral:rRNA from 1 species
CAGCAGCCGCGGUAAUACGUAGGGUGCAAGCGUUAAUCGGAAUUACUGGGCGUAAAGCGUGCGCAGGCGGUUAUAUAAGACAGAUGUGAAAUCCCCGGGCUUAACCUGGGAACUGCAUUUGUGACUGUAUAGCUAGAGUACGGCAGAGGGGGAUGGAAUUCCGCGUGUAGCAGUGAAAUGCGUAGAUAUGCGGAGGAACACCGAUGGCGAAGGCAAUCCCCUGGGCCUGUACUGACGCUCAUGCACGAAAGCGUGGGGAGCAAACAGGAUUAGAUACCCGCGUAGUCCCUGUCUCUUAUAC